GCGCUCGUAGUUCAGUGGAUAGAACGACGGAUUCCGGUUCCGUAAGUCGGGGGUUCGAGUCCCUCCGAGCGCG
rnacentral:tRNA from 1 species